rnacentral:rRNA from 1 species
UACGUAGGGGGCAAGCGUUGCCCGGAUUCACUGGGCGUAAAGCGCGUGUAGGCGGUCCGUUAAGUCGGAUGUGAAAUCUCCAGGCUCAACCUGGAAAUUGCCUCCGAUACUGGCGGACUUGAGGACGGUAGAGGUCGGUGGAAUGGCGAGUGUACCGGUGAAAUGGGCAGAUAUUCGCCAGAACACCAGUGGCGAAGGCGGCCGACUGGGCCGUUCCUGACGCUGAGACGCGAAAGCCAGGGGAGCGAACCGG